UUCCUCUAAGAGAGGGGUAAAUAAAAGGGCUGGAGAACAUGGGCCUGUGGAGGAACACUGGAGCUCAUCUCAGAAAUAACACAACAGUUUCCAUCAUAACACCAGAAUGCAGAGAGGCUCGUGAUGACAGUGAGAAGAUAUUCCAUCUUCCAGAGGUUGGUCAACCAUCGGAAUGUGCAGUUGGACAACGAUAAAACUGCAACACAGCGAAGAUGAAAGUUAGCAUGUUACACGAGGCCCCAUCUGACAGAGUGGUCGUUCUGCUUUCUGUCAUAAGUACUAUCUGUUGGGAUGGCGGCCAGGCCUAUAGUCAGGCAUACCGUCAUGGCGUUAGCUCUAUUUUGGCAUUUAGGACAACAUGUUAACACGGGCCUAACUAUCACCAAAUAAAGUUUUCAUCCUCCUUCAA